AGAAUCAACGCUGGCGGCGUGCCUAACACAUGCAAGUCGAACGCGAAAGGGGCUUCGGCUCUGAGUAGAGUGGCGAACGGGUGAGUAACACGUGGGUGAUCUACCUUCGAGCGGGGGAUAACGUUCCGAAAGGGACGCUAAUACCGCAUGACGUCCUGGGUUUGAAGACCUGGAGACCAAAGCUAGGGACCGCAAGGCCUGGCACUUGAAGAGGAGCCCGCGUCCGAUUAGCUAGUUGGCGGGUAACGGCCCACCAAGGCGACGAUC
rnacentral:rRNA from 1 species